rnacentral:misc_RNA from 1 species
GUUUCUCUUCUACAACGCUCUCAUUUUCCUCGUAUGCCGUCGAUUCAUCAGUAGACUCUGUCGUCUCCGGCGCCACCGGGACAGCAACAGCAACAGCGCGCCGAUGGUCGAAACGAAGGAAGAAGAAUGCAGCAGCGGCAACGGAGAUGCAAGCGGUUUUAAUAAAUCCCGACAGAAGGCCGUCAUACUUGGUCUCGGAAAUGGAAGAUUUAGCGUUGCGAGGGGUUUCGUCGGAGGUGGAUGAAGAGGAUGAGGCUUUAACAGACAACGAUCUGAAAGACGAACGGAGCUGCGACGGCGGCGGAGACCGGAAGGAGAGAGAGGAAAUGGGUUUAGAGAAGGACGGGAGACGGUAG